GACGAACGCUGGCGGCGUGCUUAACACAUGCAAGUCGAACGGAAAGGCCCUGCUUUUGUGGGGUGCUCGAGUGGCGAACGGGUGAGUAACACGUGAGUAACCUGCCCUUGACUUUGGGAUAACUUCAGGAAACUGGGGCUAAUACCGGAUAGGAGCUCCUGCUGCAUGGUGGGGGUUGGAAAGUUUCGGCGGUUGGGGAUGGACUCGCGGCUUAUCAGCUUGUUGGUGGGGUAGUGGCUUACCAAGGCUUUGACGGGUAGCCGGCCUGAGAGGGGGACCGGCGACAAUGGGACUGAGGUACGGCCCAGACUGCUACGGGAGGCAGCAGUGGGGAGUAUUGCACAGUGGGCGGAAGCCUGAUGCAGCAGCGCCGCGUGCGGGAUGACGGCCUUCGGGUUGUAAACCGCUUUCGCCUGUGACGAAGCGGGAGUGACGGUAAUGGGUAAAGAAGCACCGGCUAACUACGUG
rnacentral:rRNA from 1 species